AGCAGUAGGGAAUCUUCCGCAAUGGACGAAAGUCUGACGGAGCAACGCCGCGUGAGUGAUGAAGGUUUUCGGAUCGUAAAACUCUGUUGUUAGGAAAGAACAAGUACGAGAGUAACUGCUCGUACCUUGACGGUACCUAACCAGAAAGCCACGGCUAACUACGUGCCAGCAGCCGCGGUAAUACGUAGGUGGCAAGCGUUGUCCGGAAUUAUUGGGCGUAAAGCGCGCGCAGGCGGUCCUUUAAGUCUGAUGUGAAAGCCCACGGCUCAACCGUGGAGGGUCAUUGGAAACUGGGGGACUUGAGUACAGAAGAGAAGAGUGGAAUUCCACGUGUAGCGGUGAAAUGCGUAGAGAUGUGGAGGAACACCAGUGGCGAAGGCGACUCUUUGGUCUGUAACUGACGCUGAGG
rnacentral:rRNA from 1 species